CAUCUGGGACAAAUCUGACACUUCAUAACCGAGAUCCUCCAUCAAGUGAACUGUGGUCUUGGAACAGAGGCGCAUAUCUAGAAGCUGAGCUCUCCGGUGACGUGCCCAGUGUGUCAGGCUGGCAUGUGAGCCUGGCACAUGUGGACCCAGGCCUGUCUCAUCUCUCUGACCCUGUCAUAAACCUCAGUCCCAUCCAAACACUACUCCUCUGACACUAAGAAGGAAACUCAAACAUGUUUGGGACGUCAUGACGGGAGGGGAGUCGUGCAUAUCUUCAUCUCGGAGAGAGUUGAGAUCUCUGAGUCAUCAUGUGGAGAAGCCAGCUUUGUGAUUGAACUGCACACAAAACCAGGAUUCUGGGUAAAAAAAGAAACACCACACAAGCACAAAAGCCAACUUAUGAAUCACACGCAUUAAUCUGCAAAUUUAUGACUCACUGUUUUUUUUUCUCUCUCGCUGAGAAGUGCGAACUUAUCACAGUGGUAACGGAAGGGAAAACAUAAGUGAGCUUUUAUGGAAUAGACUCAUUUUAAAACUAAAUGCAGGGUCGUUUGAGCAGUUUGAGAAGUAAUUAUAAUACUGACACAAGUACUGCAGUACUAAAAACAUUUAGAGAGAAGCCUUCAUUUAAA